GACGAACGCUGGCGGCGUGCCUAAUACAUGCAAGUCGAGCGAAUGGAUUAAGAGCUUGCUCUUAUGAAGUUAGCGGCGGACGGGUGAGUAACACGUGGGUAACCUGCCCAUAAGACUGGGAUAACUCCGGGAAACCGGGGCUAAUACCGGAUAACAUUUUGAACCGCAUGGUUCGAAAUUGAAAGGCGGCUUCGGCUGUCGCUUAUGGAUGGACCCGCGUCGCAUUAGCUAGUUGGUGAGGUAACGGCUCACCAAGGCAACGAUGCGUAGCCGACCUGAGAGGGUGAUCGGCCACCCUGGGACUGAGACACGGCCCAGACUCCUACGGGAGGCAGCAGUAGGGAAUCUUCCGCAAUGGACGAAAGUCUGACGGAGCAACGCCGCGUGAGUGAUGAAGGCUUUCGGGUCGUAAAACUCCGUUGUUAGGGAAGAACAAGUGCUAGUUGAAUAAGCUGGCACCUUGACGGUACCUAACCAGAAAGCCACGGCUAACUACGUGCCAGCCGCCGCGGUAA
rnacentral:rRNA from 1 species